UACGAAGGGUGCAAGCGUUACUCGGAAUUACUGGGCGUAAAGCGUGCGUAGGUGGUGCGUUAAGUCUGUCGUGAAAGCCCCGGGCUCAACCUGGGAAUGGCGAUGGAUACUGGCGCGCUAGAGUGCGGUAGAGGAGAGUGGAAUUCCCGGUGUAGCAGUGAAAUGCGUAGAGAUCGGGAGGAACACCCGUGGCGAAGGCGGCUCUCUGGAACGCAACUGACGCUGAGACGCGAAAGCGUGGGGAGCAAACAGG
rnacentral:rRNA from 1 species